GGUAGCUAAAUGCGGAAGAGAUAAGUGCUGAAAGCAUCUAAGCACGAAACUUGCCCCGAGAUGAGUUCUCCCUGAGACUUUAGGUCUCCUGAAGGAACGUUGAAGACGACGACGUUGAUAGGCCGGGUGUGUAAGCGCAGCGAUGCGUUGAGCUAACCGGUACUAAUGAACCGUGAGGCUUAACCUUACAACGCCGAAG
rnacentral:rRNA from 1 species